GCCUUCGUGGUGUAGUGGUCAGCACGCUCGGCGCGUAUUCGGUAGAUCCUGGUUUGAGUCCGGCGAGGGCA
rnacentral:tRNA from 1 species